UACGUAGGGUGCAAGCGUUAAUCGGAAUUACUGGGCGUAAAGCGUGCGCAGGCGGUGAUGUAAGACAGGGGUGAAAUCCCCGGGCUUAACCUGGGAACUGCAUUUGUGACUGCAUUGCUGGAGUGCGGCAGAGGGGGAUGGAAUUCCGCGUGUAGCAGUGAAAUGCGUAGAUAUGCGGAGGAACACCGAUGGCGAAGGCAAUCCCCUGGGCCUGCACUGACGCUCAGGCACGAAAGCGUGGGGAGCAAACAGG
rnacentral:rRNA from 1 species